GACGACGCUGGCGGCGUGCCUAACACAUGCAAGUCGAGCGGGGUUGAGGCGAGAGGUAACUCGAACUUCUACCUAGCGGCGGACGGGUGAGUAACGCGUGGGCAACCUGCCUCAAGGUUUGGGAUAACAGCCCGAAAGGGCUGCUAAUACCGGAUAUGCCUAUGGCCUCGCAUGGGGCUAUGAGCAAAGGGGAAACCCGCCUUGAGAUGGGCCCGCGUCCCAUCAGCUAGUUGGUGAGGUAACAGCUCACCAAGGCGACGACGGGUAGCCGGCCUGAGAGGGUGACCGGCCACACUGGGACUGAGACACGGCCCAGACUCCUACGGGGGGCAGCAGUGGGGGAUCUUGCACAAUGGGCGAAAGCCUGAUGCAGCGACGCCGCGUGAGCGAAGAAGGCCUUCGGGUUGUAAAGCUCUGUCUGGAGGGACGAAGGAAGUGACGGUACCUCCGGAGGAAGCCACGGCUAACUACGUG
rnacentral:rRNA from 1 species